UACGGAGGGUGCAAGCGUUAUCCGGAUUCACUGGGUUUAAAGGGUGCGUAGGUGGGUUGGUAAGUCAGUGGUGAAAUCUCCGUGCUUAACAUGGAAACUGCCAUUGAUACUACUGAUCUUGAAUUUUCAGGAGGUAAGCGGAAUAUGUCAUGUAGCGGUGAAAUGCUUAGAUAUGACAUAGAACACCAAUUGCGAAGGCAGCUUACUACAGGAAUAUUGACACUGAUGCACGAAAAGCGUGGGGGAUCAAAACAGGG
rnacentral:rRNA from 1 species